rnacentral:siRNA from 1 species
AGCCAUUUUGUGAAAUAAAUCCUG